GACGAACGCUGGCGGCGUGCUUAACACAUGCAAGUCGAAAGAAGUGGCGAACGGGUGAGUAACGCGUAAUAAAACUGCACUUCAGAGGGGGACAACAGUUGGAAACGACUGCUAAUACCGCAUAAUGAAGGAGGGGAGUGAGUCUGAUUAUAUAUGUGGGGGGGUAAAGGCCCACCAAGGCGAUGAUCAGUAGCCGGUUUGUGGUGAUUAACGGCCACAUGGGUACUGAGACCCGGCCCAGACUCCGUCGGGAGGCAGCAGUAGGGAAUCUUCCGCAAUGGACGAAAGUCUGACGGAUCAACGCCGCGUGAGUGAUGACGGCCUUCGGGUUGUAAAGCUCUGUUAAUCGGGACGCGGUACCGGAAUAGAAAGCCACGGCUAACUACGUGCCAGCAGCCGCGGUAAUAC
rnacentral:rRNA from 1 species